UUCCAAUAUGGGAUGCCACCUAUCCAACUCCGUCGCUUAUAUAUGCUAUAGGUCCUGAGUCAUUUUUUUUCUUGUUUUUUAUGGAUGGAAGGUAAAAGGUAUCAGAUCUACAGGUGCAAAUGGAACAGUCUCAGCAUUGGAAUUGUGUUCUCUUACUUUAAAAUUAGCUAUUGGUGAUGUGUGUGGUCUGGUGCCGCAACGGAGACAGGGACUUAGUUCAGGUGGACUAAUGAUUAAGGAGUUGAAUGACUUGCUUGAUCGUUUGGCAUCAGGUGAAAAUAGGGCAUUGAAGUUGGAAAAGCUGUGAUCCCGCUGCUGGCUCUGAGAGUUGGUGAUGCAACUAAUGCAUGUAAACGAAGUACAUUACUUCUCAAGGACUACUCCGGUAGAAAUUAAAGGAUGAUCAUCUUUUCAAAGAUGUGCUGAAUACAUGAAAAUUUGGGCUGUUCUCCAACCUACCUGUGACUCUCUGAGAUUUAUUCCUCCUUUUUUUAUGAUUUUUAAUGAUUGCUUGCUUUUAAACUUGAAGUCCAUUACUGUUCUAGAUUUCGGGUAAUGCUGUUCAUGUGAAAGCCUAGGAUAUUUUGCGGAUAAGGUUAUGGUUACUAUGAAACCAAUGAGAUUGUGAAUCCAACAUAUUUUAGUUGUUAAUUUCUUUGGUAA